rnacentral:rRNA from 1 species
UGAUAGUACCUUACUACUUGGAUAACCGUGGUAAUUCUAGAGCUAAUACAUGCUAAAAACCCCAACUUCGGGAGGGGUGUAUUUAUUAGAUAAAAAACCAAUGCCCUUCGGGGCUCUCUGGUGAUUCAUAAUAACUUCUCAGAUCGCAUGGCCUUGCGCCGGCGACGGUUCAUUCAAAUUUCUGCCCUAUCAACUUUCGAUGGUAAGGUAUUGGCUUACCAUGGUUUCAACGGGUAACGGGGAAUUAGGGUUCGAUUCCGGAGAGGGAGCCUGAGAAACGGCUACCACAUCCAAGGAAGGCAGCAGGCGCGCAAAUUACCCAAUCCCAAUACGGGGAGGUAGUGACAAUAAAUACUGAUACAGGGCUCUUUAGGGUCUUGUAAUUGGAAUGAGUACAAUUUAAACCUCUUAACGAGGAACAAUUGGAGGGCAAGUCUGGUGCCAGCAGCCGCGGUAAUUCCAGCUCCAAUAGCGUAUAUUAAAGUUGUUGCAGUUAAAAAGCUCGUAGUUGAACCUUUGGCCUGGCUGGCGGGUCCGCCUCACCGCGUGCACUCGUCCGGCCGGGCCUUUUCUUCUGGAGAACCGCAUGCCCUUCACUGGGUGUGUUGGGGACCAGGACUUUUACUUUGAAUAAAUCAGAGUGUUCAAAGCAGGCAUUUGCUCGAAUACGUUAGCAUGGAAUAAUAGAAUAGGACGUGCGGUCUUAUUUUGUUGGUUUCUAAGACCGCCGUAAUGAUUAAUAGGGACAGUCGGGGGCAUCAGUAUUCAAUUGUCAGAGGUGAAAUUCUUGGAUUUAUUGAAGACUAACUACUGCGAAAGCAUUUGCCAAGGAUGUUUUCAUUAAUCAGUGAACGAAAGUUAGGGGAUCGAAGACGAUCAGAUACCGUCGUAGUCUUAACCAUAAACUAUGCCGACUAGGGAUCGGGCGGUGUUAUUAUUUUGACUCGCUCGGCACCUUACGAGAAAUCAAAGUGUUUGGG